rnacentral:rRNA from 1 species
GACGAACCGUGCGAACGUUAUUCGGAAUCACUGGGCUUAAAGCGCGCGUAGGCGGUGUCGCAAGUCAGGGGUGAAAUCCCAUCGGCUCAACCGUGGAAUUGCCUUUGAUACUGCGAUGCUCGAGGGAGGUAGGGGCAGGUGGAACUUCCAGUGGAGCGGUGAAAUGUGUUGAGAUUGGAAGGAACGCCGGUGGCGAAAGCGACCUGCUGGAUCUCUUCUGACGCUGAGGCGCGAAAGCUAGGGUAGCGAACGGG